UUGUAAACCGCUUUUGUCAGGGAAGAAACGCGCUGGGCUAAUACCUCGGCGUAAUGACGGUACCUGAAGAAUAAGCACCGGCUAACUACGUGCCAGCAGCCGCGGUAAUACGUAGGGUGCAAGCGUUAAUCGGAAUUACUGGGCGUAAAGCGUGCGCAGGCGGCUUUGCAAGACAGAUGUGAAAUCCCCGGGCUUAACCUGGGAACUGCAUUUGUGACUGCAUGGCUGGAGUGCGGCAGAGGGGGAUGGAAUUCCGCGUGUAGCAGUGAAAUGCGUAGAUAUGCGGAGGAACACCGAUGGCGAAGGCAAUCCCCUGGGCCUGCACUGACGCUCAUGCACGAAAGCGUGGGGAGCAAACAGGAUUAGAUACCCUGGUAGUCCACGCCCUAAACGAUGUCAACUGGUUGUUGGACGGCUUGCUGUUCAGUAACGAAGCUAAC
rnacentral:rRNA from 1 species